GAUCACCUUCCAGCCAGUUUUGGGCAUGGCUUGGGAAAGAUGUCUUGCUAGAUCAACUGGUCUGCUAGGUGCAAGCCUAUGCACCAGUAUUGGUUUGUGCUCUCAAGCAUUUCUACCUAGACAUGAAGCACUCCUUCCAAAGAGACCUGAAUGGGCCAGCCUCCAGAAUGCAAGACACUGACUUACCUGAAGGUGCUAGGUCCUUCUGAUCUUUGGUUGAGACUUUUGGACCUGUGCCACUUGCUUCGGGAUCUACUGGGGUAACAAUUAUCUCCCCAUGCUUGGGGGCCUGAUGGCAUAGCAACUCUUUCAUCUUUGAACAAAAGAGAUGAACAGCAAAAAAAUAUAAUAAAAGCUGUGAAUUAUAAUGA